rnacentral:rRNA from 1 species
UAACACGUGGGUAACCUGCCCAUCAGAGGGGGAUAACAUUCGGAAACGGAUGCUAAAACCGCAUAGGUCUUCGAACCGCAUGGUUUGAAGAGGAAAAGAGGCGCAAGCUUCUGCUGAUGGAUGGACCCGCGGUGCAUUAGCUAGUUGGUGAGGUAACGGCUCACCAAGGCCGUGAUGCAUAGCCGACCUGAGAGGGUGAUCGGCCACAUUGGGACUGAGACACGGCCCAAACUCCUACGGGAGGCAGCAGUAGGGAAUCUUCCGCAAUGGACGCAAGUCUGACGGAGCAACGCCGCGUGAGUGAAGAAGGUUUUCGGAUCGUAAAACUCUGUUGUUAGAGAAGAACAAGUGCUAGAGUAACUGUUAGCGCCUUGACGGUAUCUAACCAGAAAGCCACGGCUAACUACGUGCCAGCAGCCGCGGUAAUACGUAGGUGGCAAGCGUUGUCCGGAUUUAUUGGGCGUAAAGCGAGCGCAGGCGGUUCCUUAAGUCUGAUGUGAAAGCCCCCGGCUCAACCGGGGAGGGUCAUUGGAAACUGGGGGACUUGAGUGCAGAAGAGGAGAGUGGAAUUCCAUGUGUAGCGGUGAAAUGCGUAGAUAUAUGGAGGAACACCAGUGGCGAAGGCGACUCUCUGGUCUGUAACUGACGCUGAGGCUCGAAAGCGUGGGUAGCAAACAGGAUUAGAUACCCUGGGUAGUCCACGCCGUAAACGAUGAGUGCUAAGU